rnacentral:rRNA from 1 species
CCUACGGGUGGCAGCAGUGGGGAAUAUUGCACAAUGGGGGAAACCCUGAUGCAGCGACGCCGCGUGAGGGAAGAAGUAUUUCGGUACGUAAAGCUCUAUCAGCCGGGAAGAAAAUGACGGUACUUGACUAAGAAGCCCCGGCGAACUACGUGCCAGCAGCCGCGGUAAUACGUAGGGGGGAAGCGUUAUCCGGAUUUACUGGGGGUGAAGGGGGCGUAACCGGCAGCACAAGUCUGAAGUGAAAUCCCAUGGCUUAACCAUGGAACUGCUUUGGAAACUGUGCAGCUGGAGUGCAGGAGAGGUAAGCGGAAUGCCUGGUGUAGCGGUGAAAUGCGUAGAUAUUAGGAGGAACACCGGUGGCGAAGGCAGCUUACUGGACUGUAACUGACGUUGAGGCUCGAAAGCGUGGGGAGCAAACAGGAUUAGAUACCCGGGUAGUC